rnacentral:rRNA from 1 species
GGGUAGGGCGGAAUGCUUACACAUGCAGUCGAUUCAAGUUACCUUCGGGUAAUGAGGAUGGCGGACGGGUGAGUAACGCGUAAGGAACUUGCCUCUUGGACUGGGACAACUGUUGGAAACGACAGCUAAUACCGGAUAUUAUGAGAUUCUCGCAUGAGAAACUUAUGAAAGCUAUAUGCGCCAAGAGAGAGCCUUGCGUUCCAUUAGCUAGUUGGUGGGGUAACGGCCCACCAAGGCGACGAUGGAUAGCCGGCCUGAGAGGGUGAACGGCCACAAGGGGACUGAGACACGGCCCUUACUCCUACGGGAGGCAGCAGUGGGGAAUAUUGGACAAUGGGCCACAAGCCUGAUCCAGCAAUUCUGUGUGCACGAUGAAGGUCUUCGGAUUGUAAAGUGCUUUCAGUUGGGAAGAAGAAAGUGACGGUACCAACAGAAGAAGCGACGGCUAAAUACGUGCCAGCAGCCGCGGUAAUACGUAUGUCGCAAGCGUUAUCCGGAUUUAUUGGGCGUAAAGCGCGUCUAGGCGGAAAAAUAAGUCUGAUGUUAAAAUGCGGGGCUCAACUCCGUAUUGCGUUGGAAACUGUUUUUCUAGAGUACUGGAGAGGUGGGCGGAACUACAAGUGUAGAGGUGAAAUUCGUAGAUAUUUGUAGGAAUGCCGAUGGAGAAGUCAGCUCACUGGACAGAUACUGACGCUAAAGCGCGAAAGCGUGGGGAGCAAACAGGAUUAGAUACCCUGGUAGUCCACGCCGUAAACGAUGAUCACUAGGUGUUGGGGGUCGAACCUCAGGCGCCCAAGCUAACGCGAUAAGUGAUCCGCCUGUGGAGUACGCACGCAAGUGUGAAACUCAAGGAUUUGACGGGGGACCCGCACAAGCGGUGGAGCAUGUGGUUAAUUCGACGCAACGCGAGAACCUUACAGCGUUUGACAUCCUAAGAAGGUUCCAGAGAUGGAUUCGUGCCGGCUUGCAGGAACUUAGUGACAGGUGAUGCAUGCCU